GUCCUGCGGGGCAUGGUAGCCGUAUCCUGGCAUGUCCACCAGGGUAAAAUACUUUCCAACAUUGAAGAAAUUCAUUUUCUUUGUAUGGCCCUGGAGAGAGAAGAAUUUUUUUUAAAGCAAGGUCUGCACUGGCUGCACACUGGCUGCCGCUUCGCGCUCCCCGCGGGCUCGCCGCCUCUCACCCUUCCCAGCCCCGCCACCCGGGCUAGCGCCGGCUUUGGCCGCAGAGGGAGGAGAGGCGAAGACUCAGAGGCACCUACCGGCGUUUUCGACACCCGGACCUCCACCUCCGGAGUCAGCGAGAACAGGGCCCGGAUCAGCGAGGACUUCCCCACGUUGCUGCGGCCCACGAAGCACACCUGCGGCCGGGGACAGACGUGCAGCGGAUUCCGUGACUGAAGCUACAGUAUGAUAUGCCCUGCGCUGCUUCACAUCAGAGUUAAAUGUGACCUUUUCAUCUUGGACCCAUCUCUAAGCAUGAGAAAUGCUUGUUGCACCUGACCACCAAACCACACAGCAUUGAAACACAAGCUGCAGUUACCAAAGAGCAGGUAGCUGGCUGCAGUUGUCACAAAAUGACUUUCAGAAAGUCAAACUACAGCAACAGCAGCCAGAAGAGACAAAGAUUUCAUUAUAUCACUGCUGUUGGCUUCUCUGGAUAUAAGAACUGUGAGCAUAGAGGGCUUCAUUUUCUGUUCGAACUUACUCGGCUUUACCUUUGAGCACCAGUGGUUGUUAUGCCUCUUUUCAGUAAACUUGUGCCUAGUGUUUGGGGUG